UACGUAGGGUGCUAACGUUGUUCGGAAUCACUGGGCCUAAAGAGCGCGUAGGCAGUCUGCUAAGUCAGGUGUGAAAUCCCCCGGCUCAACCGGGGAACUGCACCUGAUACUGUUGGGCUUGAGUGCAGGAGGGGAGAGCGGAAUUCCCGGUGUAGCGGUGAAAUGCGCAGAUAUCGGGAGGAACACCAAUUGCGAAGGCAGCUCGCUGGGACGUUACUGACGCUGAGACGCGAAAGCGUGGGGAGCAAACAGG
rnacentral:rRNA from 1 species